GGGUUGUGAGGUUAAGCGACUAAGCGUACACGGUGGAUGCCCUGGCAGUCAGAGGCGAUGAAGGACGUGCUAAUCUGCGAUAAGCGUCGGUAAGGUGAUAUGAACCGUUAUAACCGGCGAUUUCCGAAUGGGGAAACCCAGUGUGUUUCGACACACUAUCAUUAACUGAAUCCAUAGGUUAAUGAGGCGAACCGGGGGAACUGAAACAUCUAAGUACCCCGAGGAAAAGAAAUCAACCGAGAUUCCCCCAGUAGCGGCGAGCGAACGGGGAGCAGCCCAGAGCCUGAAUCAGUGUGUGUGUUAGUGGAAGCGUCUGGAAAGGCGCGCGAUACAGGGUGACAGCCCCGUACACAAAAAUGCACAUGCUGUGAGCUCGAUGAGUAGGGCGGGACACGUGGUAUCCUGUCUGAAUAUGGGGGGACCAUCCUCCAAGGCUAAAUACUCCUGACUGACCGAUAGUGAACCAGUACCGUGAGGGAAAGGCGAAAAGAACCCCGGCGAGGGGAGUGAAAAAGAACCUGAAACCGUGUACGUACAAGCAGUGGGAGCACGCUUAGGCGUGUGACUGCGUACCUUUUGUAUAAUGGGUCAGCGACUUAUAUUCUGUAGCAAGGUUAACCGAAUAGGGGAGCCGAAGGGAAACCGAGUCUUAACUGGGCGUUAAGUUGCAGGGUAUAGACCCGAAACCCGGUGAUCUAGCCAUGGGCAGGUUGAAGGUUGGGUAACACUAACUGGAGGACCGAACCGACUAAUGUUGAAAAAUUAGCGGAUGACUUGUGGCUGGGGGUGAAAGGCCAAUCAAACCGGGAGAUAGCUGGUUCUCCCCGAAAGCUAUUUAGGUAGCGCCUCGUGAAUUCAUCUCCGGGGGUAGAGCACUGUUUCGGCAAGGGGUCAUCCCGACUUACCAACCCGAUGCAAACUGCGAAUACCGGAGAAUGUUAUCACGGGAGACACACGGCGGGUGCUAACGUCCGUCGUGAAGAGGGAAACAACCCAGACCGCCAGCUAAGGUCCCAAAGUCAUGGUUAAGUGGGAAACGAUGUGGGAAGGCCCAGACAGCCAGGAUGUUGGCUUAGAAGCAGCCAUCAUUUAAAGAAAGCGUAAUAGCUCACUGGUCGAGUCGGCCUGCGCGGAAGAUGUAACGGGGCUAAACCAUGCACCGAAGCUGCGGCAGCGACGCUGAUGCGUUGUUGGGUAGGGGAGCGUUCUGUAAGCCUGCGAAGGUGUGCUGUGAGGCAUGCUGGAGGUAUCAGAAGUGCGAAUGCUGACAUAAGUAACGAUAAAGCGGGUGAAAAGCCCGCUCGCCGGAAGACCAAGGGUUCCUGUCCAACGUUAAUCGGGGCAGGGUGAGUCGACCCCUAAGGCGAGGCCGAAAGGCGUAGUCGAUGGGAAACAGGUUAAUAUUCCUGUACUUGGUGUUACUGCGAAGGGGGGACGGAGAAGGCUAUGUUGGCCGGGCGACGGUUGUCCCGGUUUAAGCGUGUAGGCUGGUUUUCCGGUGCAAAUCCGGAAAAUCAAGGCUGAGGCGUGAUGACGAGGCACUACGGUGCUGAAGCAACAAAUGCCCUGCUUCCAGGAAAAGCCUCUAAGCAUCAGGUAACAUCAAAUCGUACCCCAAACCGACACAGGUGGUCAGGUAGAGAAUACCAAGGCGCUUGAGAGAACUCGGGUGAAGGAACUAGGCAAAAUGGUGCCGUAACUUCGGGAGAAGGCACGCUGAUAUGUAGGUGAAGUCCCUCGCGGAUGGAGCUGAAAUCAGUCGAAGAUACCAGCUGGCUGCAACUGUUUAUUAAAAACACAGCACUGUGCAAACACGAAAGUGGACGUAUACGGUGUGACGCCUGCCCGGUGCCGGAAGGUUAAUUGAUGGGGUUAGCCGCAAGGCGAAGCUCUUGAUCGAAGCCCCGGUAAACGGCGGCCGUAACUAUAACGGUCCUAAGGUAGCGAAAUUCCUUGUCGGGUAAGUUCCGACCUGCACGAAUGGCGUAAUGAUGGCCAGGCUGUCUCCACCCGAGACUCAGUGAAAUUGAACUCGCUGUGAAGAUGCAGUGUACCCGCGGCAAGACGGAAAGACCCCGUGAACCUUUACUAUAGCUUGACACUGAACAUUGAGCCUUGAUGUGUAGGAUAGGUGGGAGGCUUGGAAGUGUGGACGCCAGUCUGCAUGGAGCCGACCUUGAAAUACCACCCUUUAAUGUUUGAUGUUCUAACGUUGACCCGUAAUCCGGGUUGCGGACAGUGUCUGGUGGGUAGUUUGACUGGGGCGGUCUCCUCCUAAAGAGUAACGGAGGAGCACGAAGGUUGGCUAAUCCUGGUCGGACAUCAGGAGGUUAGUGCAAUGGCAUAAGCCAGCUUGACUGCGAGCGUGACGGCGCGAGCAGGUGCGAAAGCAGGUCAUAGUGAUCCGGUGGUUCUGAAUGGAAGGGCCAUCGCUCAACGGAUAAAAGGUACUCCGGGGAUAACAGGCUGAUACCGCCCAAGAGUUCAUAUCGACGGCGGUGUUUGGCACCUCGAUGUCGGCUCAUCACAUCCUGGGGCUGAAGUAGGUCCCAAGGGUAUGGCUGUUCGCCAUUUAAAGUGGUACGCGAGCUGGGUUUAGAACGUCGUGAGACAGUUCGGUCCCUAUCUGCCGUGGGCGCUGGAGAACUGAGGGGGGCUGCUCCUAGUACGAGAGGACCGGAGUGGACGCAUCACUGGUGUUCGGGUUGUCAUGCCAAUGGCACUGCCCGGUAGCUAAAUGCGGAAGAGAUAAGUGCUGAAAGCAUCUAAGCACGAAACUUGCCCCGAGAUGAGUUCUCCCUGACUCCUUGAGAGUCCUGAAGGAACGUUGAAGACGACGACGUUGAUAGGCCGGGUGUGUAAGCGCAGCGAUGCGUUGAGCUAACCGGUACUAAUGAACCGUGAGGCUUAACCUUACAACGCCGAAGGUGUUU
rnacentral:rRNA from 1 species